CCUACGGGAGGCAGCAGUAGGGAAUAUUGCUCAAUGCGCGUAACCCUGAAGCAGCAACGCCGCGUGGAGGAUGAAGGCUUUAGGAUUGUAAACUCCUUUUGUUAGAGAAGAUUAUGACGAUAUCUAACGAAUAAGCACCGGUUAACUCCGUGCAAACAGCCGCGGUAGUACGGGGGGGGCAGGCGUUACUGGGAAUCACUGGGCGUAGAGAGUGAGUAGGCGGGGUACUAGGUCAGAGUUGAAAUCCAGUAGCUUAACUAAGGAACUGCAGUUGAAACUGUUACUCUGUAGUGUGGGAGAGGUAGGUGGAAUUCUGGGUGUGGGGGGAAAAUCGUUAGAGAUCAAGAGGAAUACUCAUUGCGAAGGCGACCUGCGGGAGCAUUACGGAGGCUGAUGGACGAAAGCGUGGGGAGCAAACAGGAUUAGAUACCCUGUAGUC
rnacentral:rRNA from 1 species